rnacentral:rRNA from 1 species
CCGAGUUGUAAUUUGCAGAGGAUGCUUCGGGCGUGGCCGCGGUCUAAGUCCCCUGGAACGGGGCGUCGCAGAGGGUGAGAAUCCCGUCUUCGGCCGGCCGGCUUCGCCCAUGUGAAGCUCCUUCGACGAGUCGAGUUGUUUUGGGAAUGCAGCUCUAAAUGGGUGGUAAAUUUCAUCUAAAGCUAAAUAUUGGUCGGAGACCGAUAGCGCACAAGUAGAGUGAUCGAAAGAUGAAAAGCACUUUGAAAAGAGAGUUAAACAGCAUGUGAAAUUGUUGAAAGGGAAGCGUUUGCGACCAGAGUCGGCCGCGGGGGUUCAGCGGGCAUUCGUUGCCCGUGCACUCCCCCGCGGGCGGGCCAGCGUCGGUUUCGACGGCCGGUCAAAGGCCCCCGGAAUGUGUCGCCUCUCGGGGCGUCUUAUAGCCGGGGGUGCAAUGCGGCCAGUCGGGACCGAGGAACGCGCUUCGGCACGGACGCUGGCUUAAUGGUCGUAAGC